rnacentral:rRNA from 1 species
GUUAAGUUGCAGGGUAUAGACCCGAAACCCGGUGAUCUAGCCAUGGGCAGGUUGAAGGUUGGGUAACACUAACUGGAGGACCGAACCGACUAAUGUUGAAAAAUUAGCGGAUGACUUGUGGCUGGGGGUGAAAGGCCAAUCAAACCGGGAGAUAGCUGGUUCUCCCCGAAAGCUAUUUAGGUAGCGCCUCGUGAAUUCAUCUCCGGGGGUAGAGCACUGUUUCGGCAAGGGGGUCAUCCCGACUUACCAACCCGAUGCAAACUGCGAAUACCGGAGAAUGUUAUCACGGGAGACACACGGCGGGUGCUAACGUCCGUCGUGAAGAGGGAAACAACCCAGACCGCCAGCUAAGGUCCCAAAGUCAUGGUUAAGUGGGAAACGAUGUGGGAAGGCCCAGACAGCCAGGAUGUUGGCUUAGAAGCAGCCAUCAUUUAAAGAAAGCGUAAUAGCUCACUGGUCGAGUCGGCCUGCGCGGAAGAUGUAACGGGGCUAAACCAUGCACCGAAGCUGCGGCAGCGACACUAUGUGUUGUUGGGUAGGGGAGCGUUCUGUAAGCCUGUGAAGGUGUACUGUGAGGU